rnacentral:rRNA from 1 species
GCCUGUUUAUCAAAAACAUGUCUUUUUGAAAAUAAUUUAAAGUUUAAUUUGCCCCCUGAUAAAAAAAAAUUAAAGGGCUGCAGUAUUUUGACUGUACAAAGGUAGCAUAAUCAUUAGUUUUUUAAUUGGUGGCUUGUAUGAAAGAUUGAAUGAGAUAUAAACUGUUUAAAAAAUAAUUAAUUGAAUUUAAUUUUUUAAUUAAAAAGUUAAAAUAUUUUAAAAAGACGAGAAGACCCUAUAGAGUUUUAUAUUAUUUAUUGAUUUAAAUUAUAUAUAAAAAUAAUAAAUUAUAAAUUAGAAAUAAUAUUUUAUUGGGGUGAUAAAAAAAUAAAAAAAACUUUUUUUAAUAUUAAACAUAAAUAAAUGGUUAUUUGAUCCAAUUUUAUUGAUUAAAAGAAAGAAUUACCUUAGGGAUAACAGCGUAAUUUUUUUUUUUAGUUCAUAUAAAAAAAAAAGUUUGCGACCUCGAUGUUGGAUUAAGAUAAAAUUUAA